CCCUUAGAUGUUCUGGGCUGCACGCGCGCUACACUGAAGCUAUCAACACGUUUUCCCACCCUGAGAAGGGCGGGUAACCUUUUGAAUCAGCUUCGUGGUAGGGAUCGGGGCUUGCAAUUGUUCCCCGUGAACCAGGAAUUCCUAGUAGACGCGAGUCAUAAGCUCGCAUCGAUUAAGUCCCUGCCCUUUGUACACACCGCCCGUCGCUACUACCGAUUGAACGUUUUAGUGAGGCAUUUGGACCGACGCAUCUCAGUUUAACCGCUGGUUUGUGUUGGAAAGACUUCCAAACUUGAGCGUUUAGAGGAAGUAAAAGUCGUAACA
rnacentral:rRNA from 1 species